GUGCCCAAAGACGCUCUGAGGCCUCCUCACACCACAUGGACGACCUUGCCCGCUGAGGAUCAGUGCCUCAACCUUUAUGUUCCAGAGGAGAGAAGUGGGAAUUACAGGCACACCUCAUAGAUGUUGUGAUAAAUCAAGUAUGGCAACAAAGGACUCCCGAAAGCCAAAACUGGAACCCAGAUAUUCCUGGGAGAAAGCGUCAGGGCCGCCACUGAGGAACAGGGAACUCGUACGGGAGCCAGGAAUGGCCCUCUUGGAUCGCCAAGACCCAACGAACUACAGUUAUUAAAGCUUCAACAGAAACUGACGCGUGAAAGGCCAGACUCCUCACGCCCUGGAACAAGCUCUGACUGUUCACUCUCGGCAUCCAAGUUCCAAGGCUGGAGUUCAGGCUUCCCAACCCUGGAUCUCUUGGCUCGCAAGAAUGACAUCUCCUCAUUCAAAAGUCUCAAGAAGAUGAAUGGUCCUUAGAGAGAAGCACAAUAAAUUCUAGAAGUAAAAUAAG